rnacentral:rRNA from 1 species
GGGAGGCAGCAGUGGGGAAUAUUGCACAAUGGGCGCAAGCCUGAUGCAGCAACGCCGUGUGAGUGAAGAAGGUUUUCGGAUCGUAAAACUCUGUCCUAAGGGAAGAAACAAAUGACGGUACCUUAGGAGGAAGCCCCGGCUAACUACGUGCCAGCAGCCGCGGUAAUACGUAGGGGGCAAGCGUUAUCCGGAAUCACUGGGCGUAAAGGGUGCGUAGGCGGCUUAGCAAGCCAGGGGUGAAAGGCAUUGGCUCAACCAAUGUAAGCCUUUGGAACUGUUAAGCUUGAGUGCAGGAGAGGUAAGUGGAAUUCCUAGUGUAGAGGUGAAAUUCGUAGAUAUUAGGAGGAACACCAGUGGCGAAGGCGACUUACUGGACUGUAACUGACGCUGAUGCACGAAAGCGUGGGUAGCGAACAGGAUUAGAUACCCUGGUAG